rfam:Picea glauca, whole genome shotgun sequence.
GGGUGCGAUCAUACCAGCGUUAAUGCACCAGAUCCCAUCAGAACUCUGCAAUUAAGCAUGCUUGGGAUAGAGUUGUACAGGGAUGGGUGACCUCCCGGGAAGUGCUAGUGUUGCAACCU